rnacentral:lncRNA from 1 species
GAAAAAUUUCCUUUUUCGAUUUUGUACAAGUUAAAACCAUUUUUAAGCAAUAUUUUGUACAGGUGAUGUACUUUUGUACAUGUUAUAACUUGUAUUUUUGCAUUAUACAAGUUAUAACAUGUACAAUAUUUUUGUACAUGUUACAACCUAUACAGAAUCGCAACUUGUACACGACAUAUACAUAUACAGGACUACAAGAAGCACAUGUUUUCCUCAUGCAUUGAAUUAACAUUUAAUUACUGAGAAACUAAAUAUAUUUAUCCUUAUUUGAUGCUAAUCCUUGUUUUAAACUAAAAUUCUUUUUUUUCUGUUGACAUUAGACAAAAUUAUAAAUCAGAAGAAGGUAUUAACCUGGUCAUUUUCUAAAUAAUUCUUUAUUACAAAACUAAUGCAGCCAAAAAAAAAAUAAGAUAGAAUAUAAGAUGUUGUUUAAUUUAACCAAAUUAUGAUAAAUAUAUAGAGAAAUUGAGUUUCAAAUUAUAAAGAAUAAAGAAAAACAGGGGGCUAAAAUAUAAAUAAAUAAGAAAAAUGAGCAAAGUUAAAGAACAGAGAAAAAUGACACAAAAAGUUAAAGAUUGAAGAAAUGAAAUACCCCUAAUCAAAACUCUCAAACAUGAGAUAUGCAGCUAUAUAGAUUUUUAUAAAUUAAUACCAAAAUUUCCAAAUUUUUCUUUCAAUUAAAACACUUGUGCUUGAUUUAUGGUUUUAAUAUUUAUUUAUUAUAUUUACAGUGCUAUAACUUUAUUAAUGUAAUAUAAGCUAGCCAAUACAUGCAUUACAUUUGUUUAAAGCAAGUAGUCUUGAUCUUCCUUCUUUUGUCUUUAAAAGGGAGAGUUCAUGACCCUCCCAAAAAUGGCCAAAACUUUUUAAAAAUAUGUAGUACUGUAUGUUAUACUGGUAAAAAAAGGGGGAAGUGGGAUACUAUUUAAAGAAUUACAGAAACUUUUCUGUCACAUUGUAUCAAUCAUUUUUGAAAAGCACCUUCCAACAUCCCUUAAAGCUGGAUGAGUCUUAUCUUAAAAUUGUAAUUCAAUUAUGUUACUUCUUUAUGAUGAAUUCAUUAUAUUAUCAUUUGUGGGGUACAAAUGUUUUGUGGAUUUCCUGUUAGUCUUUUACUACAAAUUUUAUGUUUUAAGAAGAUAUAAGUUUUCUAUAGAUUUUUUAGAUGACUUUAGCAAAGCAAUGGAUCCAAAUAUCCACAAAAAAAAAAAAAAAUUAUCCUCCAAAAAAAUAAAUGAAUCCGUAGUAUUUUACCUUGUGUUCUAGUGUUCAUUAAAAUGUGUUCAGAGUUAAAAUUGAAGAUGAAAGAAGUUUGUCUGGUUGUUUAUUAAUUUUUAAUUUAUAUCAUAGCACAACUUUUGAACAAAGGCUUUAUUUUGGGUGUGGCCCAAUCCAGUAUUUUUAAAAAAAUAAUAAAAAAUCCGAAGUUUCUAACAGUUUUUUUCGAAGGAUCCAUCUUUACAUUAUUUAAAUUCAGUAUUUUUAAAAGAGUUAUUGUGAGAAAGUUUAAAUGUUUUAUGUUGACCAUUUGUGAGCUUGGCCUUAUUUAUAUAUACCUCAGCAUCUAUCAUCAACUUUAUUGUCAGCCAUAGGUAAAUUGUUUAGACAAAACUGUUGUUUAUAUUUUCUUUGAAUCUCUUUUAUAAAAUUUAUUAGUAUGUUUCUAGCUAUAAAUGUUAAAGCUAUAAACAAUUUUUCUGAAAUUAUAUGAUUAAUUGUAUUUUUUUCACAAUUGAUGCAAUUUAAGCUAGAAUUAUUUCCCUUUGGUUGCCAUGUUAGAGGUCUAUGUGCACAAACGCCUUGAUUUGCGUUAAUCAACAAAAUUCAACAUGUUAUACUGAUUGUUUGACUUAGAAAACAUUGUUUUAUAUUGGAUUGUCUACACAAUUUGUGAAAACCACAAAUUCACAUAUCCUCAAAAAUAAAUAAAAAAUCAUGAAUCCAAGAAACUGAUACCAAUAAAAACAAAUCAACCGACAGUAAAAAUACUUAACUUCACAUACAGACAGUAAAGGAAAAAAAACACUUUUUUACCCCUACUUCAUCCAAAUUAUCUCAACCCCACCCCUUUUUGUGUUGGAAUGUAAUUUUGUAAAGGUUGAUUCCCAUGGUCCUCAUUAAUAAAACUGACUAUUAUAUUGUAUGAAUGUAUCAGAAGUGUUGAUAAGCAAUAGUUUCUACUUAUUUUUUUUUUAAUAUAUUUACAUAUCUUGAUCACUUUCUGUUGCUAAGCUAUGGAAAUUUUAAUCCAGUUCAAGUUUUAUUUUAAUUUUAGAAUAUAUUAUCGGCAUUUACCCAUUUUAAUUGUAUAGUUAAUGUUAUAUCAGGUUUUAGAUAAGGUGCAAAAAUUAAAGUGCUAUAUUAAAGUCUAGAUUUUAUGUUUUAAAAAAGGUGACAAAAGAUUAAAUAUUAUAUUUAAGGCUAGAUUUUUGUAGCAAAUUUGAAAUCUUUUUCCCAGGUAUCCAAGCUAUAUUUAAUUUGAUUCAUUUCUUUAUAACAGAUUAAAGGUAAUUAGCUAAAGUAACAAUUUGUUUGCAAUGUUUUUAUUAUUGUGAAAGAAUUAUGACCGAAUAGGUUUCAACAACAAAAUAACUUAAAUUUGUCAAUUUUUUUUAGUGGCUUCCCCUUAGAUCUAAUUUACAAGAUGAUAAUUAUAUAUAAGUAGUUUAUAUAAUUCAGCUUUCCAAGUCUUAAAUAUCAAUGAUGAAAAAUUCGGCUCCUUGUUUUCAUUCCUGAAUGCUUCAUACAUCAAGUGCAAUCAGUUCAUCUUUGUAUGAAUUAUUAAAAGAUGACAUAAUCCAAAAUAUGCAAGUUAAAAUGAAUUCUGUACACUAAUAUUAGGAAACUUUUGCAUGCGUUGUAUUUUCACUAUAUUUGCUGUAGCCAUUUUAAUGCAAGUUUUACCUGUUGUGAAUAUUUCAAUGUACAAGACCAUAAACCCAAACAACAAAAAUGGGUAAAAAUGGAGAAUUCCUUUUUAGGCGUAAUCCAUUAUCAAAAUUUGACGCAAAAUAAUCUGGUACCAUACAAUGUUGAUGACACUAUAUUGACAAUAUGUAAAUAAUGUUAGUUCAUAUGCCAGUACAUUUUAUCUGAGUGUUCCUUCAAUUGUUGAUAAUGUAUUAUUGAAUUAUUUUUUUACCAUGUUCAUAUUUUGUUUUAAAUGUUUGACAUUUUAACGUCUCAUUAUAAGAUUCUUUGUAUUUCUA